rnacentral:rRNA from 1 species
UGGGGAAUAUUGGACAAUGGGGGCAACCCUGAUCCAGCCAUGCCGCGUGUGUGAAGAAGGCCUUUUGGUUGUAAAGCACUUUAAGCAGUGAGAAGACUCCAUGGUUAAUACCCAUGGACGAUGACAUUAGCUGCAGAAUAAGCACCGGCUAACUCUGUGCCAGCAGCCGCGGUAAUACAGAGGGUGCAAGCGUUAAUCGGAAUUACUGGGCGUAAAGCGAGCGUAGGUGGCUUGAUAAGUCAGAUGUGAAAUCCCCGGGCUUAACCUGGGAACUGCAUCUGAUACUGUUAGGCUAGAAUAGGUGAGAGGAAGGUAGAAUUCCAGGUGUAGCGGUGAAAUGCGUAGAGAUCUGGAGGAAUACCGAUGGCGAAGGCAGCCUUCUGGCAUCAUAUUGACACUGAGGUUCGAAAAGCGUGGGUAGCAAAACAGGAUUAGAUACCCUGGUAGUCCACGCCGUAAACGAUGCCUGAU